UACAGAGGGGGGCAAGCGUUAUUCGGAAUUAUUGGGCGUAAAGGGCGCGUAGGCGGCCAUUCAAGUGACGGGUGAAAGCCCUCGGCUUAACCGAGGAACUGCCUGUCAGACUGGAUGGCUUGAGACCGGGAGAGGUGAGUGGAAUUCCCAGUGUAGCGGUGAAAUGCGUAGAUAUUGGGAGGAACACCAGUGGCGAAGGCGGCUCACUGGACCGGAACUGACGCUGAGGCGCGAAAGCCAGGGGAGCGAACGGG
rnacentral:rRNA from 1 species